rnacentral:rRNA from 1 species
GAUGAACGCUGGCGGCGUGCCUAAUACAUGCAAGUCGAGCGAACAGACGAGGAGCUUGCUCCUCUGACGUUAGCGGCGGACGGGUGAGUAACACGUGGAUAACCUACCUAUAAGACUGGGAUAACUUCGGGAAACCGGAGCUAAUACCGGAUAACAUGUUGAACCGCAUGGUUCAACAGUGAAAGACGGUUUUGCUGUCACUUAUAGAUGGAUCCGCGUCGCAUUAGCUAGUUGGUAAGGUAACGGCUUACCAAGGCAACGAUGCGUAGCCGACCUGAGAGGGUGAUCGGCCACACUGGAACUGAGAAACGGUCCAGACUCCUACGGGAGGCAGCAGUAGGGAAUCUUCCGCAAUGGGCGAAAGCCUGACGGAGCAACGCCGCGGGAGUGAAGAAGGUCUUCGGAUCGUAAAACUCUGUUAUUAGGGAAGAACAAAUGUGUAAGUAACUAUGCACGUCUUGACGGUACCUAAUCAGAAAGCCACGGCUAACUACGU